CCUUUUUUUCCCCAUUUUUGGCCUUUUUUUUCUCUCAUUUCCUUUUUUUGGUCGAACCCCGUGUUUUUUUUGAUUUUCCCCAUUUUUUUCAAUUUCCAUCCUUUCCUCCUCAUUCCCAUCAAAAUAAAAAUCCCAAAAUCCCAACAAACAACCCCAAAACCCCCCCAAAAAACCAACCGGGGGGGUUCCCCUCCCCCCUCCAGAAAAACCCAAAUUUCCCUUUUUUUCCCUCAUUUUCCCUCCCUUUUUGGUCGUUUUUUUGCCCCAAAACGCCCCAAAAUCCGCGGCGGGGGGCGGGGCUACAUUCGGGGUUUUGGUCCCCAAAAAAAGCGAAUUUUUGGGGCGUUUUCCCCCUUUAGUUUUUCACAGUUUUCUGGAAUUUUGGGGCGAAUUCCGGGGGUUUUGGGGUCCGUGAGGUAUCUGCGGCUGCGGGGGGAGGGGCCGGGGGGGUUUUGGUCUUUUCCGGGGAAUUUUCCCUUUUUUCCGUUCUUUUGGUUAUUUUUUUCCUGUUUUUUUUUUUCUUUUUUUUUCAUAUUUUUUUUUUUUUUUUUUUUUUUUUUCUUUUUUUCCCUCUCUUUUUUCCUUCUUUUUCCCUUUUCUCUCUUUUUUCCUUCUUUUUUCCAUUUUUUCCUCUUUUUUCCUUCUUUUUCCUUUUUCUCUUCCUCUCCCACUUUUCCUUCAUUUUUCCCACUUUUUUUCUUCUCCUUUUCCUUUUUUCCCGACUUUCCUCUUCCCUUUUCCGCUUUUUCCCGUUUUUCCUCUUCCUUUUCCCAUUUCCUUCAUUUUUUCCUUUCCUCUCCUCAUUUUCUCCUCCCAGCUCCGUUUUUUCCUCCUUUUUUCCUCUUUUCCUUCAUUUCUCCUCCUUUUUCUUCCCAUUUCCUUUUUCUCUUUAAUUUCCCUUUUUUCCCUCAUUUCUCCUUUUUCCUUCUUCAUUUCCUCCUCUUCCAUUUUUCUCUUUUUUUUUGCUUUUUCCUCGGCUUUUCCCUCAUUUUUUCCUUCAUUUUUUCUCUUUUCGUCAGUUUUUUCAUCGAUUUUCCCCUUUUUCUUCAAUGUUCCGUUUUUCCAUCCAUUUUUUCCCUCAUUUUUUCCAUUUUUCUUCCACUUUUCCUUUUUCCAUCCAUUUUUUCCCUCAUUUUUCCCCUCAAAUUUUCCAUUUUCCCCCAUUUUUUCCCCAUUAUUUCCCCCCAUUCCCCUCCCCCCCCGGCCGCGCCCCUCCCCCCAAAGGGAC
rnacentral:lncRNA from 1 species